AUUGAACGCUGGCGGCAUGCUUUACACAUGCAAGUCGGACGAGUGGCGAACGGGUGAGUAACGCAUCGGAACGUCCCGUGUAAUGGGGGAUAACUGUCCGAAAGGACAGCUAAUACCGCAUAUUAUUCGAGCGUCCGAUGUCUGAUUAGCUAGUUGGUGAGGUAAAGGCUCACCAAGGCGACGAUCUCUAGCUGGUCUGAGAGGAUGACCAGCCACACUGGGAAUGAGACAAGGCCCAGACGCCCACGGGAGGGAGCAGUGGGGAAUAUUGCGCAAUGGGGGCAACCCUUACGCAGCCAUGCCGCGUGAAUGAAGAAGGCCUUCGGGUUGGAAAGCUCUGUUAAUCGGGACGCGGUACCGGAAUAGAAAGCCACGGCUAACUACGUGCCAGCAGCCGCGGUAAUAC
rnacentral:rRNA from 1 species